rnacentral:lncRNA from 1 species
CUAUUUGGGCCAAAAAUGUGACCCACGUUGGGCGCCCCACGUCCCCGCGUGUGUUUCAGUUGCAGCCGAUGGGCCUCUCAUGUGAGGCCUGCUUAACAACUGUCCAAUUGGAUCAAGCAUCGAACCCCGGGGAAGGGACUGAUAUUUGAAUCAACGGCUCCCAAUCAUAUUUAACAUUUAACAAAACUAACACUUGUUUUAAUUUUGCCAAACUAUUCCAACCUAUCAGAGUUAACAAAUCAAAUUUAUUAUUCUGGUUACCCAAUGACAUCAAUGUUCAAGAAAAUACUAAUUUCAAAUGACCUUCUAUAAUCAUGCAAGACUUGACACUGAAAUAACUACCCGGAAAUAAAAUCUAAUUAACUAAAGCUAAGUACGAGUUCUAAUUUCCAGUUUGCAAGUUCAAACUAUAUCAGUCCACUAUUGUCCUGACUCCAAAUAGCAACUAUACAAUCCAAUUUUAAUUAACUUGAAUAAACAACUAAAUCAUAGAAAAACAUAACUAUACUAUUCAAAAGUAGAUCAACAGCAGCAUGCUUCAAUUUCCUUCUUCAUUUCAGCUGAAAUUUACAUACUGAGAUUCAGAACAAGUACCUGAAAUUGGAAAAUAAAGUGAGAAGAAAAAGAGGUUAGCAACAGCAAUUGCAAAAGCCAAAAGCAGCAACUAGGAUCACUUUUUCGAACAAAAUUACUUCAAAACCUAGGAACCUAAUCACAGAAUACCAUACAGAACCUAAUACCCCUUUAGCUGACCCAACAAACUCGAAUUCAACCAGUAAACAUCAGAAAUUUCAGCAGCAAAACCACAACAAGGUGAAAAUCAAUGGAAUAGUGAUUUCCUCUUCUUUUUUUUAGUUUUCUAGAGAUUUCUACUGUUUUUGGAUUUUUGUUUUUGGAUUUAAAAUACAACAAUGCAGAUUUAUAUAAAGAGAAAAUAUUUUGGGAAUUUCUAUUUUUGAUGGCCAAAAAGAAAAGUCCCUUCCUCAAGACACUUGCCCUUGCCCUUUUAUAUGCAACAAAAAGAGGGCAAAUCAAAUUUUCGAUUUCUUUUUAAAUCCCUCCCUAAAUUUUAGCUUGGUCCCUUUAUUAUUGACUUGCUAAACAAGUAAGUACCUCUAUUGUGCUAAAAUCUACAAUAAAGUACCAUUCUAGAAGGCCCUAGGAUGCUCUUCCACCCACCAAAUACCUAUAUAAUCCUUACCUUACUUUGAAAUUACUAUUCCUAAAGAAACUACCCUUUUCUAUCCCUAAAAUGCCCUUAUUAUCUCAUAGAAUUACUGCUCAACCCAAAGCUCAAUCAGCUGCCCAUCACACUAAGAUGUACCCCCAAAACCUCUAAUAAUGUAUUAAUAUUAACUAAACUGAAGAACUGAUUACCCAAUUUAUUCAAAGCACAAAGCUAAUCAGAAUGUAAAAAAUAAGAAAGAUAAACAGCCAUGAACAAGUAUCAGUCAGGUAACUAUAAUAGAAUCAGAAUGCAUCAAUAUGGAAAUUAAAACAAUAUGAGAGUGAAAAUCAAGAAGGGACGGUUUAUCAGAAAGAUAUUUAACUAGAAUUGAAUUAUGCUAAUUGAGACCAAAUUAACCUUAACAACUAAGCUAACCACUGACCAACUACAGCUAAAAUCAAACAAAGCUGAAAUAGAAAUUAACCUAAACAUUUGCAAAUUACUUGAUGGACAGAAUUGUAUCGACCUAAACUAAUCAAUUAAGACGGUUAAAACUAAGACUAUGACCAACUAACAAGCUAAAACAUAAAAAUUAGAACUAGGCAGGGCUUAUUAACUAACAAAAGGAACAACGAAAAAAAAAGAAAUUAAACCUAAUAUUACAUGAAAUUAAUAGAACACGUACUGGGGAAAUCACUCGACCUUAGAAAAUUCCCCAAAAGCCAUUUGAACCCGCAUAAACCCUACAUUUGAACUCUGAGAUGGCCUGGUGAACUUCAACGGAAAUUGACCACGGAUUGGUGAAGGGGAAGACAGGGAGACUACCUGGAAUCAAUUUGGUCUUAUUUGGAUGAUUUUGUGUUUGGACUCGAGCUUCGAAUGCAUAUUCGAAGCACCUGAGUUUGAUUCGAGGGAUUUCAAGUGGGGAUUCAUGAUGAGGGAUAGGAGGGGGAGCUACCGUGUUAUUUUUGGUAUCAUGGAGGCGGCGGCGGCACUGGUGGCAGAGGAUAUUAGGGCGUCGGGAUUAGGGUUCAUGGGAGGUCACUGGGAGAUGGGGAGAUGAGGGUAAUGAGAUAGGGGUGGGGGGGUUUGUUCAGACUAGGACGAUCUCCGUUGUCUGAUCAAGAAGCAAUGGUUGAGAUCAUUCUCUGAAACGGCGUCGUUUGGACUCUUUCAUAGGCGGACUAGGUUGAAC